ensembl:lncRNA PCDH10-DT PCDH10 divergent transcript
AGUGUGAGAGCGAGAACAGCCCCGCAGGUCCCGAGGCGCUGGCUGGGGACAAUGCCGCGGAAAGUUCCCAGUCCCCAGCCGCAGAUCUGCAGAAUUGAAAUGAAAUGUUUUGAGCUCUUCAAGCUGACUCGUCAGAAUCCUGGAGCCUUUUAAAAAAUGACGAAUUGGAAGGAAAAAUUACUUUAUCAAUAACCAGGCUCCACCAGGAUUGACCUAGAUGGUUGUUCCUGGCACUUGUCAUUCUCAGCAAGCACAGCUCAGAGAACAAAUACAAAAGACCCAAAGUGCAUUGCAUCUUUUAUGGAAGUGCCCAAUGUGGAAAUCAUAGAUUUCAAGGAAGGAACAAGAAAAUUGAUGAAACAAGUUCAAAAGAAAGAAGCUUGGCCAAUUUGAUGUCAAUGGAAAUGCGUGAGAUUUUUAUUCAGCAUUCACACCUGAGCAAUGCUUUUGGUCAUGAUGUCAUACUAAGAAGAAACCACCUGAGAUGAGACUGUUAGAUGUUCAGAGCAAACAAAAACAAAAACAGACCAACAAAAAAAACCCAAAACAAAACAGAAGUUUCUGAAGGACAGCAGAAAUGCAGGGAGCUAUAAGAAAAGCAAAAUCUUAGGAAAACAUGACCAAUGUACAGAAAAAAAUAGAAGUGAAUAGAGAAAAAUUAGUAGGCUUUGCAGGACCACAACAACCACUCCCAGUCAUGAUGGAGAGAAGUGUUCAAUACCCACAGAUCCUGAACGUUGAGCUGAUUAUACUAACUAGAUGGGACUUAGUUUUGUCUACCGUGGGGUGAGCGUAUACUACCUGAGGGAACAGGUUCUCUAUGGUGAAGAUGGCAACUUGCUGACUCAGUCUCAGAAUGCGUUAAAUCCACAUAUUCUGGCAAGUGGAGUUCUGCUUCUCCAAUAUCUCUUCCAGACUAAGUCUCGAAAGGACAGUAAUUGAUCCACCCUGAGUCAUAUGCCCAUGUCCAAAGCAAUGAGUUUGGGAAAUUUCAUGACACACUCCUAAUUUUGUGGUAGGAGACACAUCAGAACCACACAAUGAGUCAGUCCUAUUUAUGAAAUAGAGGUUCAUCUAUCAGAUGAAAGGGAAAAAAGUUGUAAAAACAAAACAGAUGUUCACUAAUGGGGAUCUAUCUGAAUUUCACCUGUAACUACAAAUGCUCACAAGUAGAUUUACAGUUUUCCUAGAGUGUCAUGAAUUUAAAAACAUAUGCAUGGAAUCAUAAAGUAAUAUCCUAAUCACCUCUCACAACCUUUCUCUCCUUAACAUAAAAUGAGAAUAUUUUAGCAGCAGGAGAAGGAUUUUCAUUUAUAGACCUUUAUCAGACACUAAUGUAGGAUUGAGUUUGACCUGAUACAGUGUUCUAUCUCUGAGUGUUGUCACUCAGUUUUAUCAUAAAUAAAAUUUAUUUUAUAUGAUAUCAUAUAGAGAACAAAUUUACUUAUUUUUCUCAUGUAAUCAUGUAAUCAAUUGUUCCAACAUAAUCCAUUGAAUAGAUAUUGUGGCAUUUCCCUAAUUAUUUAUAAAGGCACUGUUACUAGAUAUGAAUAUUUAUAUAUGAGGAUAUGAAUCGUGGCUCUCUGAUUUGUUCAUUAUUUGCUUGUCUAUUCCUGUGCCAGUAUCAUACAAUUGGUACUAAUAUAGUGUUCUGAUAUUGACAGGAUGAAGUGCUCCUUCUAAUGAUGUAGCUUUAAAUUUGUCUUGGUUGUGCAUUUCUUUUUAUUCUUCCAUAGAGAUUUGUGGUUCAGUUGUCAGCUUUGAAAAUCACUUUUGGGAUUUGAAUUUGAAUUGCAUGAAAUUUGUAGACUAACUUGUAGAAAAUAGACAUUUUUAUGAUAUGAAUUUACACAUCCUUGUAACCAUGGGUGUGUUAUUUAUUUUCACUUUUGAAUAUUAUUGUGGGUAUUUAGUAAUAAAAAUAACAAUCGACGAGUUACAUGGUGGUUACUAUGUGACAGAUGUUGUCAAAGUUCCAUCCAUAUAUCAACUUAUUAUAUAUUCUUAUGGGAAGAGACCGUUAUUAUCUCCAUUACACAAGUAAGAAAAUCGAGGUACAAAGAGCUUAAGUAACAUGUGCUAAGUCAUAUAAGAGUAAAGCUUUAUUUGAAUCCAUGCAGUUUGUCUCCAGAGCUUGAAAUCCAUUUUAUUUUAUUUUAUUUUUGCUUUUUAAAAAAAAUUUUUUUGAGACGGAAUCUCGCUUUGUUGCCCAGGCUGGAGUGCAGUGGCACAAUCGCGGCUCAUUGCAACCUCCACCUCCUGGGUUCAAGCAAUUCUCCUGCCUCAGCCUCCCGAGUAGCUGGGACUACAGGUGGGCACCACCACGCCCAGCUAAUUUUUUGUAUUUUUAGUAGAGAAUGGGGUUUCACCAUGUUAGCCAGGAUGGUCUCGAUCUCAUGACCUCAUGUUCCACCUGCCUCGGUCUCCCAAAGUGCUGGGAUUACAGGCGUGAGCCACUGCAUCCAGCCUGAAAUAUUUACCAGUAUCUGAUAUUGCCUCACUAAGAACUUUGCCCAACUCCUUAGUGAUUCUACCAUUGGCUUAGUAUUUUGGAUUUUCUAGUAGACAAUAAUAUCGUGUGCAUAAAGCAAAUACAAUUAUUAUUACAAUAAAAUUUUUAAACUACUCAUUUGUACUUGCUUUCAUAAAGCCUUAGCUAAUUCCAACAAAAUAUUGAUUACUGUGGGAGAGAGUGGUAAAUCUUAUUUUGUACCUAAUAUUAAAUAAAAU